rnacentral:misc_RNA from 1 species
GAUGAAGAACGUAGCGAAAUGCGAUAAGUAAUGUGAAUUGCAGAAUUCAGUGAAUCAUCGAAUCUUUGAAUGCACAUUGCGCCCGGUAGUAUUCUGCCGGGCAUGCCUGUUCGAGCGUCAUUUCAACCAUCAAGCCCCAGCGCUUGUGUUGGGGGCCUGCGGCUGCCGCAGCCCCCUAAAAGCAGUGGCGGGCUCGCUAUCACACCGAGUGCAGUAGUUCAUCUUCUCUCCGGUCUUGUGAGGCGGGUUCCGGCCGUGAAACACCCCACUACAUUCAAGGUUGACCUCGGAUCAGGUAGGAGUACCCGCUGAACUUAAGCAUAUCAAUAAGCGGAGGA